rnacentral:rRNA from 1 species
CAUGAUGUCAUUCGGUUGAUGUUGUGGGGAAUUAGGACUGUUACCUUGAAAAAAUUAGAGUGUUUAAAGCAGGCUUACGCUUGAAUACAUUAGCAUGGAAUAAUGAAAUAGGACAUCCGAUUCUAUUUUGUUGGUUUCUAGGAUCGAUGUAAUGAUUAAUAGGGAUAGUUGGGGGCAUUAGUAUUCAAUUGUCAGAGGUGAAAUUCUUGGAUUUAUUGAAGACUAACUACUGCGAAAGCAUUUGCCAAGGAUGUUUUCAUUAAUCAAGAACGAAAGUUAGGGGAUCGAAGACGAUCAGAUACCGUCGUAGUCUUAACCAUAAACUAUGCCGACUAGGGAUCGGAUGAUGCUUAUUUUUUAAUGACUCAUUCGGCACCUUACGGGAAACCAAAGUGUUUGGGUUCCGGGGGGAGUAUGGUCGCAAGGCUGAAACUUAAAGGAAUUGACGGAAGGGCACCACCAGGGGUGGAGCCUGCG